UGUAGGAGCCGGCUUGCUGGCGAUGCAGGCAACUCGGUGUAAUGUGUUGACCGAGUUGAUGCUAUCGCCAGCAAGCCGGCUCCUACA
rnacentral:misc_RNA from 1 species